rnacentral:rRNA from 1 species
UUGUCCUACGGGACGCAGCAGUGAGGAAUAUUGGUCAAUGGGCGCGAGCCUGAACCAGCCAAGUAGCGUGAAGGAUGACUGCCCUACGGGUUGUAAACUUCUUUUAUAAAGGAAUAAAGUGAGGCACGUGUGCCUUUUUGUAUGUACUUUAUGAAUAAGGAUCGGCUAACUCCGUGCCAGCAGCCGCGGUAAUACGGAGGAUCCGAGCGUUAUCCGGAUUUAUUGGGUUUAAAGGGUGCGCAGGCGGAAGAUCAAGUCAGCGGUAAAAUU